CCGUCGUGAAGAGGGAAACAACCCAGACCGCCAGCUAAGGUCCCAAAGUCAUGGUUAAGUGGGAAACGAUGUGGGAAGGCCCAGACAGCCAGGAUGUUGGCUUAGAAGCAGCCAUCAUUUAAAGAAAGCGUAAUAGCUCACUGGUCGAGUCGGCCUGCGCGGAAGAUGUAACGGGGCUAAACCAUGCACCGAAGCUGCGGCAGCGACGCUUAUGCGUUGUUGGGUAGGGGAGCGUUCUGUAAGCCUGCGAAGGUGUGCUGUGAGGCAUGCUGGAGGUAUCAGAAGUGCGAAUGCUGACAUAAGUAACGAUAAAGCGGGUGAAAAGCCCGCUCGCCGGAAGACCAAGGGUUCCUGUCCAACGUUAAUCGGGGCAGGGUGAGUCGACCCCUAAGGCGAGGCCGAAAGGCGUAGUCGAUGGGAAACAGGUUAAUAUUCCUGUACUUGGUGUUACUGCGAAGGGGGGACGGAGAAGGCUAUGUUGGCCGGGCGACGGUUGUCCCGGUUUAAGCGUGUAGGCUGGUUUUCCAGGCAAAUCCGGAAAAUCAAGGCUGAGGCGUGAUGACGAGGCACUACGGUGCUGAAGCAACAAAUGCCCUGCUUCCAGGAAAAGCCUCUAAGCAUCAGGUAACAUCAAAUCGUACCCCAAACCGACACAGGUGGUCAGGUAGAGAAUACCAAGGCGCUUGAGAGAACUCGGGUGAAGGAACUAGGCAAAAUGGUGCCGUAACUUCGGGAGAAGGCACGCUGAUAUGUAGGUGAAGUCCCUCGCGGAUGGAGCUGAAAUCAGUCGAAGAUACCAGCUGGCUGCAACUGUUUAUUAAAAACACAGCACUGUGCAAACACGAAAGUGGACGUAUACGGUGUGACGCCUGCCCGGUGCCGGAAGGUUAAUUGAUGGGGUCAGCGCAAGCGAAGCUCUUGAUCGAAGCCCCGGUAAACGGCGGCCGUAACUAUAACGGUCCUAAGGUAGCGAAAUUCCUUGUCGGGUAAGUUCCGACCUGCACGAAUGGCGUAAUGAUGGCCAGGCUGUCUCCACCCGAGACUCAGUGAAAUUGAACUCGCUGUGAAGAUGCAGUGUACCCGCGGCAAGACGGAAAGACCCCGUGAACCUUUACUAUAGCUUGACACUGAACAUUGAGCCUUGAUGUGUAGGAUAGGUGGGAGGCUUUGAAGUGUGGACGCCAGUCUGCAUGGAGCCGACCUUGAAAUACCACCCUUUAAUGUUUGAUGUUCUAACGUUGACCCGUAAUCCGGGUUGCGGACAGUGUCUGGUGGGUAGUUUGACUGGGGCGGUCUCCUCCUAAAGAGUAACGGAGGAGCACGAAGGUUGGCUAAUCCUGGUCGGACAUCAGGAGGUUAGUGCAAUGGCAUAAGCCAGCUUGACUGCGAGCGUGACGGCGCGAGCAGGUGCGAAAGCAGGUCAUAGUGAUCCGGUGGUUCUGAAUGGAAGGGCCAUCGCUCAACGGAUAAAAGGUACUCCGGGGAUAACAGGCUGAUACCGCCCAAGAGUUCAUAUCGACGGCGGUGUUUGGCACCUCGAUGUCGGCUCAUCACAUCCUGGGGCUGAAGUAGGUCCCAAGGGUAUGGCUGUUCGCCAUUUAAAGUGGUACGCGAGCUGGGUUUAGAACGUCGUGAGACAGUUCGGUCCCUAUCUGCCGUGGGCGCUGGAGAACUGAGGGGGGCUGCUCCUAGUACGAGAGGACCGGAGUGGACGCAUCACUGGUGUUCGGGUUGUCAUGCCAAUGGCACUGCCCGGUAGCUAAAUGCGGAAGAGAUAAGUGCUGAAAGCAUCUAAGCACGAAACUUGCCCCGAGAUGAGUUCUCCCUGACUCCUUGAGAGUCCUGAAGGAACGUUGAAG
rnacentral:rRNA from 1 species